CCUACGGGGGGCAGCAGUGGGGAAUAUUGCACAAUGGGGGAAACCCUGAUGCAGCAACGCCGCGUGGGUGAAGGAGCGUUUCGGCGCGUAAAGCCCUGUCAGCGGGGAAGAAGAAAGACGGUACCCGACCAAGAAGCCCCGGCUAACUACGUGCCAGCAGCCGCGGUAAUACGUAGGGGGCGAGCGUUAUCCGGAAUUACUGGGUGUAAAGGGAGCGUAGACGGCGAGGUAAGCCUGAAGUGGAAGCCCGCGGCCCAACCGCGGAACUGCUUUGGGAACUGGCGAACUAGAGUGCGGGAGGGGUAAGCGGAAUUCCUAGUGUAGCGGUGAAAUGCGUAGAUAUUAGGAGGAACACCGGUGGCGAAGGCGGCUUACUGGACCGUAACUGACGUUGAGGCUCGAAAGCGUGGGGAGCAAACAGGAUUAGAUACCCCUGUAGUC
rnacentral:rRNA from 1 species